UACAGAGGUCUCAAGCGUUGUUCGGAUUCAUUGGGCGUAAAGGGUGCGUAGGCGGCUCGGUAAGUCGGGUGUGAAAUCUCGGGGCUUAACUCCGAAACUGCAUUCGAUACUGCCGUGCUUGAGGACUGGAGAGGAGAGUGGAAUUUACGGUGUAGCGGUGAAAUGCGUAGAUAUCGGAAGGAAGACCAGUGGCGAAGGCGGGUCUCUGGACAGUUCCUGACACUGAGGCACGAAGGCCAGGGGAGCAAACGGG
rnacentral:rRNA from 1 species